rnacentral:rRNA from 1 species
UACAGAGGGGGCAAGCGUUGUUCGGAAUUACUGGGCGUAAAGGGCUCGUAGGUGGCCAACUAAGUCAGACGUGAAAUCCCCAGGCUUAACCUGGGAACUGCGUCUGAUACUGGAUGGCUUGAAUUCGGGAGAGGGAUGCAGAAUUCCAGGUGUAGCGGUGAAAUGCGUAGAUAUCUGGAGGAAUACCGGCGGCGAAGGCGGCAUCCUGGACCGAGAUUGACACUGAUGAGCGAAAGCCAGGGGAGCAAACGGG